GAUGAACGCUGGCGGUAUGCUUAACACAUGCAAGUCGAACGGACUCUUCGGAGUUAGUGGCGGACGGGUGAGUAACGCGUGAGAAUCUGGCUUUGGGUUCGGGACAACCACUGGAAACGGUGGCUAAUACCGGAUGUGCCGAGAGGUAAAAUAGAAAUUGACUGAAGAUGAGCUCGCGUCUGAUUAGCUAGUUGGUGAGGUAAAGGCUCACCAAGGCAGCGAUCAGUAGCUGGUCUGAGAGGAUGACCAGCCACACUGGGACUGAGACACGGCCCAGACGACUACGGGAGGCAGCAGUGAGGAAUGUUCCGCAAUGGGCGAAAGACUGACGGAGCAAUACCGAGUGAGAGAAGAAGGCUCUUGGGUUGUAAACCUCUUUUCUUAGGGAAGAACAAAAUGACGGUACCUAAGGAAUCAGCAUCGGCUAACUACGUG
rnacentral:rRNA from 1 species